GUUGUGACCUAUUAACACAUUCGUGUACUGGAAACCCGUUCGGUGGGUCAAGGUUAAAAAAACGGAACAGGAUAGAAACGGUCAGAUUUUAGGUAUGUGUGAGUGUGCAUUCGUCAAGAUGUGAAAUGCAUUUCUCACCGCAGGCCCCUUGGACAAGGUCACAGUGGUGGCAAUGGAAGGGCCCUGCAGACCGUGAGAGAACGAGGUCAAGGUCAGAACUGAUUCCUGGAAAGGCUGACUUCUGAGGACUCGGGCUUGGAGGAGCCUGAGGAAAAGAAGGCGGGGGUCCUUGCAGCCCCCAUCCCCGGGCUGUGCCUUGUGGACGAUGACUCACAGCUGGACUGAAUGAUCCAGAAAGACCCAGAUUAGCUCAGAGGUGGCCCAGGUGAACCAGGCUUUUCUGGGGCCCGGGUUGAACUGAUGGAGGUUGAGUGUCUGGGCCCAAGUAAAUACGGGCUCCAAACAGAAAUUGAGUUAUCCUUUUUGGAAAACACAAACAACUCUAAACCCAGGAUGCCUCGGGUUCGAAUCCCAGCUCAACCACCUACCAGCUGUGCAAAGGCUGGGAGGACCACUCCAGCCCUGCUGACCUGGGGCUGGGGGAGGGUCCUGCCCCUGGUACAAAGUCAGUGUUCCAGAAAGAGCAGUUGGCUUUUCAACAUAUCUUCUGAUGCUGUGGAGGGAUUGGGGACAGAAGGGCACCAGGGUGUGGGGUCAUGAGGCCGGAUCCGACCUCCUGCCUCCAUAAACUGGGGAUGACCCAGGUUUUGUAACACUGACUCAUUUGGCCCGCAUGCAUGCCUGCUACAGUCUGGGCCCUGGGAUAGAGCAUUGUACAAGCCAAAGACCCGCCCUCCCCGGGCUUAUCCUCCGCGGGAAGAGAAACUAUGAAGAAUAAAACUAAGCUACAGUGUCUUAAAGUAGUGAAGCCCUGCGAAGAAAUAGGAGGCAGGGGAGGAGGGGAGAGAGAGGUGCCCUGCAGGCCAGAGGCGUGCAGGAGAGACGGCGGGGUCUACAAAGAUACCUGCCCAGUCCUCGAGACUGUCAAGGUCAUCAAAGACCAGGGAAACUGGAGCAGCUAUCAGAGCCCAGAAGAACCUAAGGAGUCAUGUGUCAUGGCAAUGUCACGUGGUGCCCUGGCUGGGCUCCUGGCACAGAGAGAGGACAGGAGACAGGAAAAUGAGACGCAAAGAGCAUAAAUGCCGAAGGAGUGAGAGAGGAGUUAGAAGGAGGACAGCCAUGUUCUUCCUGGACAGGGCUGAAUGGUGGCCUCCGAAAAGGUAUGUCCAAACCCCACUCCCUGAGACCUAGGAAUGCGACCUUAUUUGGAAAUAGGGUCUCUGCAGACGUAAUUAAGUGAGGGAUCUGGGGAUGAGGUCAUCCCGGAUUAUCUGAGUGGGUCCUAAAUCCGGUGACAAGCAUCCGUACGAGAGGAAGACAGAGGGAAAGUGGAGACAGAGGAGAAGGCCAUGUGCACUUGGAGGCAGAGGCUGGGGCAAAGCGGCCACCAACUGAGGAACAUUGGGAGCCACCAGAAGUUGGAAGAGGCCAGGAAGAAUUCCCCCCUAGAGUCUCUGGAGGGAAUGGCCCUUGGUUUUGAACUUCUGAACUCUCCCUGAACUGUGAGAGAAUAAAUAUCUGGUGGGCUUUUU